ACACUUAUGGUGAAGCGGUUAUCAUGCUUGCCUUCCAAUUUGUGAUUACGUAAUUCGCUAGCAAGCGGCAGGGGUUCGACUCCCCUUAAGUGUA